rnacentral:lncRNA from 7 species
AAGCAAGCAAAUCAUCUUGCUCGGCUUCCCCCUUUUCCUGUGUCUACUGUUCGCCGCGGGUACUGUUCAUGCCGUGAUCAGUACCACGCCCCUUCCAGCCAGCAGCCCUAACCCUAGGACAAUGGCGCCCAAACGUCGUGGUCCAGAGCCUCGCCCUUCUCACCACUCAUACCUUCUUAGAAACCGCAGCUUCUAACCCUAAACCCCAACAGAGAUGACGGAGCGACGCCGCCAGGGGCUGUGCUACAACUGCGAUGAGCCAUUUGUACGAGGCCAUCUGUCAUGUACGGCAUCCCCUACUCCAGGCGACGUCGCACCCGCGACAUACGCAGGGCAGCCGAGCAUGCAGCACAGGAGGCGGCUGCCCAAACCAAUUAGCCGCUAGGAUUAAGGCAAUAAAAGAUAUCUAGCCUAUUAUUUAGGAAGGGAUUACUCCUUUCUGUUAGAAGUUAUCUAGCCUAUUAUUUAGGAGGGGAUUACCCUUUUCUGUUUCAGCCGUGGGCUAUAUAUAGAUGUAAUCAGCACUUGAGAAAGGAAGAAAACAAUU